rnacentral:tRNA from 1 species
CUCCGGGUGGUCUAGUUGGUUUAUGGCAUCGGACUGUAAUUGCUUGUAAUAAUAUCCGAGAGUCGGGCGUUCGAUUCGCCCCCUGGAGA